rnacentral:rRNA from 1 species
UACGAAGGGGGCUAGCGUUGCUCGGAAUCACUGGGCGUAAAGGGUGCGUAGGCGGGUCUUUAAGUCAGGGGUGAAAUCCUGGAGCUCAACUCCAGAACUGCCUUUGAUACUGAGGAUCUUGAGUUCGGGAGAGGUGAGUGGAACUGCGAGUGUAGAGGUGAAGUUCGUAGAUAUUCGCAAGAACACCAGUGGCGAAGGCGGCUCACUGGCCCGGUACUGACGCUGAGGCACGAAAGCGUGGGGAGCAAACAGG